AGAGUUUGAUCCUGGCUCAGGACGAACGCUGGCGGCGUGCUUAACACAUGCAAGUCGAACGGUGAAGUCCCUUCGGGGGCGGAUCAGUGGCGAACGGGUGAGUAACACGUGGGCAAUCUGCCCCUCACUGUGGGAUAACUCCGGGAAACCGGGGCUAAUACCGCAUAUGAAGCCUGGCGGCAUCGCCGGGUUUGGAAAGUUUUUCGGUGAGGGAUGAGCCCGCGGCCUAUCAGCUUGUUGGUGAGGUAAUGGCUCACCAAGGCGACGACGGGUAGCCGGCCUGAGAGGGCGACCGGCCACACUGGGACUGAGACACGGCCCAGACUCCUACGGGAGGCAGCAGUGGGGAAUAUUGGGCAAUGGGCGAAAGCCUGACCCAGCGACGCCG
rnacentral:rRNA from 1 species